GGAGAGGUGGCCGAGUGGUUUAAGGCGCUCGCCUGCUAAGCGAGAGUAGAGAUUAAAGCUCUAUCGCGGGUUCGAAUCCCGCCCUCUCCG
rnacentral:tRNA from 1 species